ensembl:lncRNA
CACUGCAAAACCACCUAUCAGGUCAUCUCUAUCCGUAGAUCGUAGUAGUCAGAUGGAGUCUCCAUGUUAUUUGCAUCAGUUAAGAUCCAGGAGCAUGGACACACACAAGUCAACUCAGAGACAGUACGAGAAAUUGAACUAUUUUUCAUUAGACGGGUGCAAAAAUGUUUUUUAGUUUCAUCAUACACGACCCGGAUAAAAUCCCACAUCCCACUCAACACCUGGACUUGAUGCUGCAGGUACCGCAGGCGUCCGCAGGGAGCUGUCAGAGGAGAGGAGGAGAGCGAGGGGCCUCUCAGUCUUUACCGGAGGGCCUGCGGGGACGGGGGUACACAUGGUGGUGCCCCACGAGAUAAACAGAGAAGCAAUCGCUUGGAGAUCAGAACAGCGGAUCAGCAUCUUUGUUCCGUGUUUCUGGCUGCAGCUCCCCUCGCCUCAGAUCUUUCUCCUCGCUGCAGCUGAGCUGGCAGUCCGAUCAUUACCUCCACGCCUGCCGCUGUUCUCUAACUGUAAUAGUGUUGUGGCAACG